rnacentral:rRNA from 1 species
GUGGGGAAUAUUCCGCAAUGGACGAAAGUCUGACGGAGCAACGCCGCGUGAGUGAUGAAGGUUUUCGGACUGUAAAGCUCUGUUGUUUAGGACGAAAGUGCCUGUUGCGAAUAGUUACAGGUAUUGACGGUACUGAACGAGGAAGCCACGGCUAACUACGUGCCAGCAGCCGCGGUAAUACGUAGGUGGCAAGCGUUGGCCGGAAUUAUUGGGCGUAAAGAGCAUGUAGGCGGGAAUCUAAGUCUGUUGUGAAAAUGCGGGGCUCAACCCCGUAUUGCGAUGGAAACUGGGUUUCUUGAGUGCAGGAGAGGAAAGGGGAAUUCCCAGUGUAGCGGUGAAAUGCGUAGAUAUUGGGAGGAACACCAGUGGCGAAGGCGCCUUUCUGGACUGUGUCUGACGCUGAGAUGCGAAAGCCAGGGUAGCGAACGGGAUUAGAAACCCCAGUAGUCC